UCCCGGGUGGUGUAAUGGUAACACAGAGGCCUUUGAAGCCUUUAUUCGUGGUUCGAGUCCACGCCCGGGAA
rnacentral:tRNA from 2 species